AUUGAACGCUGGCGGCAGGCCUAACACAUGCAAGUCGAGCGGAUGAAGGGAGCUUGCUCCUGGAUUCAGCGGCGGACGGGUGAGUAAUGCCUAGGAAUCUGCCUGGUAGUGGGGGAUAACGUCCGGAAACGGCCGCUAAUACCGCAUACGUCCUGAGGGAGAAAGUGGGGGAUCUUCGGACCUCACGCUAUCAGAUGAGCCUAGGUCGGAUUAGCUAGUUGGUGGGGUAAAGGCCUACCAAGGCGACGAUCCGUAACUGGUCUGAGAGGAUGAUCAGUCACACUGGAACUGAGACACGGUCCAGACUCCUACGGGAGGCAGCAGUGGGGAAUAUUGGACAAUGGGCGAAAGCCUGAUCCAGCCAUGCCGCGUGUGUGAAGAAGGUCUUCGGAUUGUAAAGCACUUUAAGUUGGGAGGAAGGGCAGUAAGUUAAUACCUUGCUGCUUUGACGUUACCAACAGAAUAAGCACCGGCUAACUUCGUG
rnacentral:rRNA from 1 species